CCUACCACCUGACUCAUGUGUAAAGAAAGAAAGUUUUAUGGAACAAACCUUGUUGCGGCAUCGGCAAGAAAAGGCGUUCAGAUUGAAAACGUUCGGAGGCAUUCAGGAAAGGAAAAGUAUUGGAGAAGUAGCUUGGUUGACUUCGGUUCUUCAGUGGAGGGUCUGACAGCCAGGUUUCUCAAAUUCAUGGCUAGGGGUUGAUUUCGAGGUUCUCGAGCUUUGGUGAGUCCUCAUGCUUCGAGGACAGAUUUUCAUUAUUCAGUUUUCUUUAUUAUUUUCAGU